rnacentral:rRNA from 1 species
UACGGGGGGGGGCAAGCGUUGUUCGGAAUUACUGGGCGUAAAGGGUUCGUAGGUGGCUGGCUAAGUCAGACGUGAAAUCCCCCCGGCUUAACCUGGGAACUGCGUCUGAUACUGGACGGCUUGAGUAUGGGAGAGGAAUGUAGAAUUCCAGGUGUAGCGGUGAAAUGCGUAGAUAUCUGGAGGAAUACCGAUGGCGAAGGCGGCAUUCUGGACCAUUACUGACACUGAAUCGCGAAAGCUAGGGGAGCAAACGGG